AGAACCCAGGAAGAAGAUUCUGGGGCUGCGUCAACUUUCAGAUAGGAGAUGGAUGCGAUUAUUUUGCUUGGGCAGAGCCUGAAGGACAAGAUCCACAAAUUCAAAGACUGAAGAACAAAGCAAGCUCGUUGAAAGAAGAACUGCAGAAAGCUGAAAGGAAGUUUGCAUUGGCACUUGGUGUUGGAAUUGUUGGAUGGACACUGGCUGGGCUGCUGCUAUGUGAUCGACUCAAUUGAGGUUUAG